rfam:Brassica napus, WGS project CCCW01000000 data, contig: 4790
GGAAUAUAAAAACUCAUUUUUUAACUUUUAGCUAAAAAAGUUAAGAACCGACUCUUAAAUAAAACAUUUAAAAGCCGGUUCUUAGCUUUUUUAAUUAAAAGUUAAGAGACGGAUUCCUAUAUUUC